GACGGAAACACGAAUUUGAAUUGCUGCUCUGCAACGCUGCCGCAGCGCAGCUGCAGCUCUGCCUGCGUCGGCGUCGUAGUUAAAAACAAGAAUCGAUGAUAAGCAAAUUUAAGCCACUCUUUUUCAAGUUUACUCUUAUUAAUUCAAUACGGUACAUGCUCAUUUAAGCAUUUAAACCAAUUUUGAUGCAUAUUUUUAGCCUUAAAUGCAAUUAGAUCAGAUGUGGAAUAUCGAAUUAGCAACGCUUGGCAAUUGUGAAUCAUUCCGAGAUUAAUUUCACAACGAUAUGCAUACAAUCCAACUGCAGUAGUUGUUUAAAACGAAUUUAAGUGAUGGCAAUGUAUAAUUCGUUUCAGGCUGAACAAUUAUCAUCCACAGAUCCACAUACAAAUGCACCUAUAGUUCUGCACAACCUUCAACUUACUAAUCUCUGGAAGUCAAGUUUCAGGUCUUAACUUCCGGAUUAGUGCGAUUAGCAUAAGUCGAGAAUGUCAAAAGUGAGCGAGAUGUUUGCAUAUCCAUGCCAAGUGGCUUAAAACGCUUUCGAAAGCAGAGCGAAUCUCAAACUGACGCUUGACGACAAGUUAGUUAGUUGAGUUAUCAACUUUUGGACGUGUAAACUUUUGGCUUACAGCUUUUUCCACAGAAAGAAAAUUAGCCACACCUUUUUGCCUUUUUCGUGCCUAUUUCUGCUUUCGCUCCCUGUUUAUUUGGCUCUCCCUUUUGCGCCCGCUUUCGUCAUGUUUGCGGGGGGUAAAGUGAGUGGUGGGUGGUGGGAGGCGGCCGCCUGACGAGAUAGAUAAACGACAAGCGGCGGCUGACCUUGACAUUUAUUUUUAGUUGUGAAAUAUUUAACUUUUUCUCUCGUUCGUUGCGACACCGAAAACAGAUGUGCCAUUAUAGAUACACACGAAAAACAGAAACAAAACAAAUAAACAGCAAGAAUUUGGAUUUCAGCUUCACCGCCGUAGCAACAAACAAAACAAAUUUAAUGAUUGGGUGACAAAAUUAAUAUACAGUCUGCACUUGAAAAGUAGAAUAAGCUUUGCAUACAAAUUAUUCUAGAAAAUAUAAGUCGGUGCAAGCUCUAGAGGCUUUACUGUAUGUAGCCCAGCUAAGCGAGCAUUUAUUGUUUUUGCCAAAAAGAACCUCUUUUUUUUAGAAAGUCAAGCAGCAAACAAAAUGCGAAAUACCGGCGGCAAUUGGCGCUGACAUUGCGUAAUAAGAAACAGUCGAGAAUAAAUAGAAAUAAACACAAUUGCCAGUUUGUUUUUCUCGAUUUUGUUUUGCUUUUGAUGACAAACUGCCUGCCAGACAUUAUGCAACCUGCCGUUGUGUAUCUGUGAGAUACAAUUUUGCCAUCGUAAUCGGUUUUUUUUUCGAUGCAUUCGCAUAACGGAUAACGGUGAUAAGGGCAUGAAAAAGCACAGCACAACAAAAAGCGGAAAACGUGUUUCCACUGCACCGCGUGUGUUUGUUGUGUAGCUGCGCCUCGCACUCUGGUUUAUCGGUCGCCCUGCUUUGCUCCCUCUCUUCGCCUCCGCCAUUCUACGCACAUUUGUUUACCAACAACCACACACACACACACGCACACUCAGCACAGUGGCCACACAUGCAUGGACAUGUUUUUCCAUCAUUUUUAAGACGCAAUUUGAACAAAACAAAAUGAAGGUGAAACCGAAAAACGAGUAACAACAAAGAGUGUGAACUUCACUUUGGGGUUCCCUAAAAAACUGCCUUAUCGCCACUUACAGUGGGUACUCGCAUACUAUAUCGGUACCAUUUCAUUUGCCAUGACUUCACUGAUUACUGUUCAUAUUGGAGCACUGCUCAUCUAGAUUUUCUUAGGUUUCUAAGGUAUAACUUUUAACUUCCACUUCGGAGAAGCCAUAAAAAAUGGUCUUUAACGUUAGUUUGGGGCAUAUUUGCAUUGACUUUUGAAUAGAUUUCAUUUUAACGGAGCUGCUCAUUUGCAUUUCUCAAUGUUCUGUUCAAGAUUUUUUUUUUUUUGCCAAUGCAAAUAUGCCUAAUUCUAUUCCGUUGCACUUCUAAAACGUCUGGCUAUCGGAAUACAUUAAGAUUUCCAAUUAGGAGGCUCCAAAGAACACUCUGCGCACUAAUCGAUGUAUGAAUAACUCUAAUGAAACCCCAACUACACUCAAUCAAGUAGUAACGCAAAAUCAAUCUCUUAAUUACUCACCUUCCAUGCGUUGACCUUGGGCGGUGGGGCGGCAAUGAAUCGCUUGGGAGGCGGAGCAGCUCCAGC